UGGUGGAGCGAUUUGUCUGGUCAAUUCCGAUAACGAACGUGACUCUAGCCUACUAAGUAGUUCGGGGACCCCCACAAAGGGGCCCCGCCUCAACUUCUUAGAGGGACAGGUGGCGUUUAGCCACACGAGAUUGAGCAAUAACA
rnacentral:rRNA from 1 species